UGUGGUGAGUGCUCAAGUGGUCCCCA
rnacentral:piRNA from 1 species